rnacentral:lncRNA from 1 species
CUUCCGAUCUAUCCUAUUAGAUAUUAAGCGGAGAGGCUCCUCCAAAGUCACCAUGGACCGCCUAUAUCUUAAAUAAGAUAGCUCUCAGGCGAAGAAUGGAGUUCUCUUAGCCAAUAGGAAUAGAGUGAUGAAGAAUUCAUUAACCUAUUCCUGUUGGCAUAAGAGGACUAAAGGAUGCAUUGUCUAUUUCGCAAGUAAAUAUGACAUAUUUCUGGUAGAAUCGGUUUUUCUUCAGUCUUUUCUAUCUUUCUUUCAUUCUUCAAAGAGUUACACCACAGAAUAUUCAGUAUAUAUUCCAAUUACUGAUUACAUUCUCUCUUUCAAUACAGUUUAGAUGAAGAAUGAGGUUCAACGAACUGAAC